GGCUCAGUGGUUAAGAGCACUGGUUGCUUUUCCAGAGGCCCUGGGUUCGAUCCCCAG
rnacentral:tRNA from 1 species